AUAACAUUUCAAACACAGUCAAGUUUUAAAAUUUUUUUUUACGAGUGUUGUAAGUACUUAUUACCUACAACUCCACGAGUACGUAAGUGACUUACAAUUCGAGUUGUGUACUAUAUUUUUUCUACGACCAUCCAAUAUCGAGUUAUGUUUCACUAUUUUUUAACGACAAAGCAUAAAUUUACUGUAAAAAAAUUUCCGGGAGAAGAUUCGCUGUGGUAUUUUCUACUAAUUGCCUAAUUUCUUGACUAAGCUACUUGAUUGAUGCUUUGUCAUAAUAAUUGACACGUAAUAUAUUACGUGCUAGUUUUUUUCGUCAUUACGCGCACGUGUCAUAAUGCCAUGGCUACUAGUCAACAAACAAUUGCGUUCUUGCCUACUUACUACUAUGGGAGUAGAAUAAAACGUUAACAACAUAGAUAAUAAAUACCAAAAUAAAUUCUUAUCAAAUGACCAUCACAAUAUGUAGGUAGUUCCACAUUUCCAAGCCUUGUGAAACCAAGUCAUGUCAGGUCUCUUCUGGUACGACUACCUCGUAUUUUUCAUAGUACUAGCAAUCAGUUCCGGUACCGGAAUUUAUUAUGGCUGUUUUGGAAGCAAGCAAAAAACAAUCAAAGAGUACCUUUUGGGAGGCAAAAAAAUGUCAACUCUACCAAUCGGAAUUUCGGUAGCCGUAAGGUUGUUGAAAAAUUCUAGUCACAGUUCAGAACCAAAUUUUGGAAAUUUUAGCCACUUUUCUGCAACUACUAUAAUGGCAUCACCGGCCGACAUUUACAAAUUUGGAGCAUAUUACGUCUACAGUUUGAUUAGUAUGGUACUGCUGGGACUCAUAUCAGUUUUUGUGUUUUUCCCCGUUUUUUUCAAACUACAAGUUACCAGCAUUUAUGAAUAUUUGGACAAGCGGUUCGAUCAAAAAACAAGAGUGCUUGUGUCAUUUUUAUUCAUUUUGGUAGAGUUCUUUGUCGUCGCUAUGGGUACUUACAUUCCGUCGCUGGCACUAGCAGCUGUUACUGGUUUUCCCAUUCAUUACAUUGUUAUUUGUAUAUUUGGCACUUGUAUAUUUUACACUACAAUCGGGGGUUUGAAAACCGUCAUAUGGACUGAUAUUUUCCAAAUUGGAAUUAUUCUAUUAGCUCUUCUUAUAAUUUGUGUAAUCGGUUUAAACACCACUGGAAAUUUUUCAACAAUAUGGAAAACAGCACUCGAUGGUGGAAGGCUCGAUAUUUUGAAGUAAAUUUCCGAAAUUUUUGUUCAAAUCAAUUCUGUUCUCCAGUUUUAAUUUAGAUCCAACGGUUCGUGACAGUUUUUGGACAUUUUUCUUUGGUUAUACGAUUCAGUGGACAAAUUAUGUGAGUCUUUCACAAGCCGGAGUUCAAAAAUUUCUAGCGCUACCCACAUUUCGUGAAUGGGUUUGGUGAGUAAAUCAAACCGUAAAAAUUUGUUUUACCCUCAAGUUAAAAAUAGGGCAAUGGUAUUUUAUGUGAUAACAAUGGAAAUUGUGAAAAUAUUGUGCUUUGUGUUGGGCCUUUUAAUGUAUGCACAUUACGCAAAUUGUGAUCCUUUUCUUAGUGGAAAAAUACACAAACAUGAGCAGUUAUUACCAUAUUACACCGCGGAAAUCGCUGGGCUUAUUCCUGGUGUUGUUGGAUUUACUUUGGUUGGAUUUUUCUGUGCUACUAUGAGUACGAUAUCUUCAAGUCUGAAUGCCAUCUCUGGCGUAGUUUACAAAGAUUUCCUUUCGGGAUUUUUAAAAAGCAAUAUUACCGAAAAAACGUCUGGCCGAAUUUUGAGAGUGACCGUUGUCAUUGCUGGUAUUUUAAGC